rnacentral:lncRNA from 1 species
UAAUAAUUUUGUUGUAUAUGUAGGUACAAGGAGUGAAAGAACGAGUUGCGGACCCACUGGACUACGCACGGGAACGCACGUUCUGGUACCCCUGCUGAGUUCCAGUACAGGGAGUACGAGUGGCGUUGGCUUCUGACAUCAGAAUUCAACAACCCUCGUAAACAGGUAAUUUAAAAAAAUUAAUUAAUUAAUUUGUCAUUAAGUACGUCCGUUUUUAAAUAUUUUACUAAUAAUUUAUUUUUUCUUUGAAGGCCGUUUCCCGAGCGAACUCUCAAAACCGGCAACGCAACACAAGGAACCAUCAUGGCGAUUCUAGACCGUUCGCUGUCUUCAUGGACGAGGCGGCCAAGGAACAUCCAGAAGUCAACCAGUACGUCUAUACGUACGAGAAUGCAUAUCCUGACUCCUAGGAGGAUAUUGUAAGUCAUCUUACGUUUUUAAAUUUUUAAAUUUACUUAUAUAUAUAUCAAAAUGUUAAUUAAUAAUUUUUUCCUAUCCAUAUAGGCGAAGGUGAGGGAGGCUAGUGACGAGGUGAUGAAUGCUAUAGUGAGGGAGACAUGGCCGGACACGCAGGAGGAAAAGAUGUCCGAAGCCAUGUCCUGGAUCGACACUUCGGAUCCGACGAUUGGGGCGAGGAUCAUGGGCACAGCCUUCCCACCAAGAGCAAACAACUUCUACUGCCGGGGUCUAGGAAAGAAAGGCGAGGGGGUCCUAAAGACCACUCCAGGAUUUUAACGAAAGGCAGCCUUAACCAGCAGCAAGACCACAUCCACGACCACCAGGACGACUCAGCUAGAGUCGAAAGUUCAGAGACUACGAGAACAGCAAGCUGCUCAGGCUGCCUAUAAUGCCUCGCAGGCAGCCUAUGUUGCCGAGAUACAUGUCAUCCAGCAGGCCCAGCAGCAGCAGAUGUUCCAGUACAUACAGGACUUUACAGCUGCCCAGCUUCAGGGACUUCCGGCUCCGCCCAUGCCUACGGCUAUACCGCUACCCCAACCGCCGCAACCUCCGCAGCAACCCCCAGAAGCGGAUAUUAAUUUAGACGAUUUAGAUUUUGUGUAGUUGAUGAAUUAUAUAGUUUUAUGUGCUUGUUGUUGGUUAUAUGGAAUUGUUUUAAUGUAUUUUGCAGCUUGCUUGGAAUGGUAAUUCAGAAAUUUUCGGGGUUUUUUUUUUUUACU